rnacentral:rRNA from 1 species
GUGGGGAAUAUUGGGCAAUGGGGGAAACCCUGACCCAGCAACGCCGCGUGAGGGAAGAAGGUUUUCGGAUCGUAAACCUCUGUCCUUGGUGAAGAGAAAGAGACGGUAGCCAAGGAGGAAGCCCCGGCUAACUACGUGCCAGCAGCCGCGGUAAUACGUAGGGGGCGAGCGUUGUCCGGAAUGAUUGGGCGUAAAGGGCGCGUAGGCGGCCCGGUAAGUCUGGAGUGAAAGUCCUGCUUUUAAGGUGGGAAUUGCUUUGGAUACUGUCGGGCUUGAGUGCAGGAGAGGUAAGUGGAAUUCCCAGUGUAGCGGUGAAAUGCGUAGAGAUUGGGAGGAACACCAGUGGCGAAGGCGACUUACUGGACUGUAACUGACGCUGAGGCGCGAAAGUGUGGGGAGCAAACAGG